UGGUGGAGUGAUUUGUCUGGUUAAUUCCGUUAACGAACGAGACCUUAGCUUACUAAUUAGAUAUCUCAAAUAGCUACCUCGGUAGUUAUUUGGCGAUACCACUCUUUUCGGAGUGGGGAAUCCUUCGGGAUUUCGCUUCUUAGAAGGACAUUUCUCAGCAAGGGAAAGGAAGUUUAAGGCAACAACA
rnacentral:rRNA from 1 species